rnacentral:rRNA from 1 species
AGAGUUUGAUCCUGGCUCAGGAUGAACGCUAGCUACAGGCUUAACACAUGCAAGUCGAGGGGCAGCAUGGUCUUAGCUUGCUAAGGCCGAUGGCGACCGGCGCACGGGUGAGUAACACGUAUCCAACCUGCCGUCUACUCUUGGACAGCCUUCUGAAAGGAAGAUUAAUACAAGAUGGCAUCAUGAGUCCGCAUGUUCACAUGAUUAAAGGUAUUCCGGUAGACGAUGGGGAUGCGUUCCAUUAGAUAGUAGGCGGGGUAACGGCCCACCUAGUCUUCGAUGGGUAGGGGUUCUGAGAGGAAGGUCCCCCACAUUGGAACUGAGACACGGUCCAAACUCCUACGGGAGGCAGCAGUGAGGAAUAUUGGUCAAUGGGCGAGAGCCUGAACCAGCCAAGUAGCGUGAAGGAUGACUGCCCUAUGGGUUGUAAACUUCUUUUAUAAAGGAAUAAAGUCGGGUAUGGAUACCCGUUUGCAUGUACUUUAUGAAUAAGGAUCGGCUAACUCCGUGCCAGCAGCCGCGGUAAUACGGAGGAUCCGAGCGUUAUCCGGAUUUAUUGGGUUUAAAGGGAGCGUAGAUGGAUGUUUAAGUCAGUUGUGAAAGUUUGCGGCUCAACCGUAAAAUUGCAGUUGAUACUGGAUAUCUUGAGUGCAGUUGAGGCAGGCGGAAUUCGUGGUGUAGCGGUGAAAUGCUUAGAUAUCACGAAGAACUCCGAUUGCGAAGGCAGCCUGCUAAGCUGCAACUGACAUUGAGGCUCGAAAGUGUGGGUAUCAAACAGGAUUAGAUACCCUGGUAGUCCACACGGUAAACGAUGAAUACUCGCUGUUUGCGAUAUACAGCAAGCGGCCAAGCGAAAGCGUUAAGUAUUCCACCUGGGGAGUACGCCGGCAACGGUGAAACUCAAAGGAAUUGACGGGGGCCCGCACAAGCGGAGGAACAUGUGGUUUAAUUCGAUGAUACGCGAGGAACCUUACCCGGGCUUAAAUUGCAGAUGAAUUACGGUGAAAGCCGUAAGCCGCAAGGCAUCUGUGAAGGUGCUGCAUGGUUGUCGUCAGCUCGUGCCGUGAGGUGUCGGCUUAAGUGCCAUAACGAGCGCAACCCUUGUUGUCAGUUACUAACAGGUUCCGCUGAGGACUCUGACAAGACUGCCAUCGUAAGAUGUGAGGAAGGUGGGGAUGACGUCAAAUCAGCACGGCCCUUACGUCCGGGGCUACACACGUGUUACAAUGGGGGGUACAGAGGGCCGCUACCACGCGAGUGGAUGCCAAUCCCAAAAACCUCUCUCAGUUCGGACUGGAGUCUGCAACCCGACUCCACGAAGCUGGAUUCGCUAGUAAUCGCGCAUCAGCCACGGCGCGGUGAAUACGUUCCCGGGCCUUGUACACACCGCCCGU